CCCGAAGGGAGCACGCCGAGCAAUUGCUCAGUGUGUUUUUUAAACCUGUUGUUGCUAAUGAUAGAAUUUUAGUUGUAAUAAUCUUUUUUUCUCCACCUUCUUUACCUCUUUCCAGAUUUCGUGGGAUGGAGAGACAUGGUCUGCGGACAGGUGGAGUCCAUGAGUCAAUGAGUGCUGUGACACUGCAGCCACAGAACAGCAGUGUUCUGACUGCCAGCUGCAGGGCAGUGCAGUGGAGCUGCCUGCACCCAGAUUGUCUGGCUGCUGAAGAAAAGCUGGUUUCUGGGGAGCUUUGCCAUCACCAGAUCUUCUGGGAGCUUCUACACGGCCGGUUGGCAAACACUGCUGGAAUCCAGAGAGGGUUUCCACUUUCUUUGGAUGGAUGUGGUACAGGGAAGCAUUCUAACUACAAGACCGAUCGGAUAAUGCAGAAAAGAAAGCACAGGAGACAAAUGGUUUAUGACACUCCGGUUACCUUUACUGUGCAAGGUGGGCGUGAAAUUUUUUAUGGUGAGACAAAAAAGAUGAUGGGCAAUUAA
rnacentral:lncRNA from 1 species